rnacentral:antisense_RNA from 1 species
UAUAUACAAUAUUGGCACAGCGUCUUUAAGCAAUAAUAAAAAAUUUCAUUUUGUCACCUUAAGUCAAGAUCCAUUUAUCUAUUAAUAGGUUAAGUUUGAAAUUCUGUAACAUAUUCUAGAAGCACCUACAUCCAUUAUUUCCAGGAGACUAGUUUACUAUUAUCAUGCAAUCUCUGAGGUCAUAUGAGUCUAAAAUGAAGGGAAUUGCUGAACAGGCCCUUUUGCUGUUGAGAUAUGAAGCCUCAAAUCUUUGCCUCUGAAGAUGGAAUUCAAUGUGGUGUGUGUAAUCACAAGUAAAAACUUGAGCUAGGGAGGAACCUUGGAUAUUCAGUCUAAAUCUCAAAUAGCAUAGCUGCCAAAAAUGAGGCCUGUCCAUUAAAGUGGAGGAGAUAUCUUUGCUGAUGGCAAGAACUGCUUUUUCUUUUUGACACGGAGUCUUGCUCUGUCGCCCAGGCUGCAGUGCAGUGGUGCCAUCUCGGCUCACUGCAACCUCCGCCUCCCGAGUUCAAGUAAUUCUCUGCCUCAGCCUCACGAGUAGCUGACAGGCGCCCGCCUCUACGCCCGGCUAAUUUUUGUAUUUUUAGUAGAGAUGGGGUUUCACCAUCUUGGCCAGGCUGGUCUUGAACUCCUGACCUCGUGAUCCACCUGCCUCGGCCUCCCAAAGUGCUGGUGGAUCACUUGAGGCCAGGAGUACGAG